rnacentral:misc_RNA from 1 species
AAUUCUCCCCCUUGAGCUAGCUUUAGGGGUGAAUUAAGCAUGACCCAUUUUCUUAAGAUAGUGUCAGAACCUUCUCAACUGAUGUUUUAUGCCUUCUAUAAGUGUUUCACGCUCCAAGUGUUCGAUCAUCGAUGUGAGAAAGUGUGUUAAUAUCCCGCAUCAGUUUGGCAUAGGAGUAAUGUGCCUCUUACAAAAUCUUGGGCAUUCCUUCUCCCUUGAACUAACUUUUGAAAUUGAGUUAGAUCCAAUCCAUUUUCUCUACACUCAUCCUGUGACCUAGAGGUCAUAGGUUAGAGAGCCUCUCUGCAAAGCAAGGGCAAGGCUGUUUACAACCACCCUCCCCGAAGCCCACAAGUGUUGCUUCGAAUAUUGUGUCAUCCUUUUUCUAAUCUCUACAAACUUGAUUGCCCAGCCAUUACGACAUUCUAUGUGUGGUAUCUGAUGUCUGACCACACAAAGGAUUUCAGAUUUCAGUGCAACAAGU